UACGUAGGGUGCAGGCGUUAAUCGGAAUUACUGGGCGUAAAGCGUGCGCAGGCGGUUUGCUAAGACAGGUGUGAAAUCCCCGGGCUUAACCUGGGAACUGCGCUUGUUACUGGCUAGCUGGAGUGUGGCAGAGGGGGGUGGAAUUCCACGUGUAGCAGUGAAAUGCGUAGAGAUGUGGAGGAACACCGAUGGCGAAGGCAGCCCCCUGGGCUAACACUGACGCUCAUGCACGAAAGCGUGGGGAGCAAACAGG
rnacentral:rRNA from 1 species